rnacentral:rRNA from 1 species
GACGAACGCUGGCGGCGUGCUUAACACAUGCAAGUCGAACGGAGAUACUGGAGGAAGCUUGCGAAUCCGGUAUUUUAGUGGCGGACGGGUGAGUAACGCGUGGGUAACCUGCCCCAAGGACCGGGACAACAGUUGGAAACGACUGCUAAUACCGGAUGUGUUCAUCGGGAGACAUCUCCUGAUGAAGAAAGGUGGCCUCUGCAUAUGCUACCGCUUUGGGAUGGACCCGCGUCUGAUUAGCUAGUUGGCGAGGUAACGGCUCACCAAGGCGACGAUCAGUAGCCGGCCUGAGAGGGUGAUCGGCCACACUGGGACUGAGACACGGCCCAGACUCCUACGGGUGGCAG